AUUGAACGCUGGCGGCAUGCCUUACACAUGCAAGUCGAACGGCAGCAUAGGAGCUUGCUCCUGAUGGCGAGUGGCGAACGGGUGAGUAAUAUAUCGGAACGUGCCCUAGAGUGGGGGAUAACUAGUCGAAAGAUUAGCUAAUACCGCAUACGAUCUACGGAUGAAAGUGGGGGAUCGCAAGACCUCAUGCUCCUGGAGCGGCCGAUAUCUGAUUAGCUAGUUGGUGGGGUAAAAGCCUACCAAGGCGACGAUCAGUAGCUGGUCUGAGAGGACGACCAGCCACACUGGGACUGGGACACGGCCCAGACUCCUACGUGAGGCAGCAGUGGGGAAUUUUGGACAAUGGGGGCAACCCUGAUCCAGCAAUGCCGCGUGAGUGAAGAAGGCCUUCGGGUUGUAAAGCUCUUUUGUCAGGGAAGAAACGGUUCUGGAUAAUACCCAGAGCUAAUGACGGUACCUGAAGAAUAAGCACCGGCUAACUACGUGCCAGCCGCCGCCGUAAAAC
rnacentral:rRNA from 1 species